rnacentral:rRNA from 1 species
GGAUCAAUAUAUCGGUCGUGCCUUGGUACGUACUGGUAUCAUUGGUUUCUCCUCUCUGACGAACCAUGAUGUCAUUAAUUUGGUGUUAUGGGAAGUUAGGACUGUUACUUUGAAAAAAUUAGAGUGUUUAAAGCAGGCUUACGCUUGAAUACAUUAGCAUGGAAUAAUGAAAUAGGACGUUUGAUUCUAUUUUGUUGGUUUCUAGGAUCGACGUA